rnacentral:rRNA from 1 species
AUGCGGGCUCGGCCAGAGCGUCAAGACCAGUGUCUUCAGCUUAUCGUCGGACAAACCCAUGCGCUCCGUCGCCAAGCCCGACGGCUGCGGCCUCGCCGACAUCUGCAACGGCCUCCUCUGCUUCGUGGACGAGCGCGAUGCUCAGGCGCCGGAGCUGGUGUGCAACCCCGCCACCGGCGAGAUACUGGCGCUUCCGACGGCCCCUCCGCUCAGCAACAAGGACCAUGCGUAUUUCUUCGCCUUUGGGUUCAGCCCGCCCACCAACGAGUACAAGCUGCUCCGCCUCUCUUUCCCGCUAUGCUCCUACUCCUCCGAAGAGUGGGUGGACGUGGACGUCUACACCUUGGGUGGGUGGCGCAAAGACUCGUUCCUCACACCCUCUCGCCCACUAACCAGAGGAAAUGA